rnacentral:SRP_RNA from 1 species
GCUGGGCGCGGUGGCUCACGCCUGUAAUCCCAGCACUUUGGGAGGCAGAGGCGGGCUGAUCACGAGGUCAGGAGAUCAAGACCAUCCUGGCUAACGUGGUGAAACCCUGUCUCUACUAAAAAAACAAAAAAAUUAGCCGGGCGUGGUGGCGGGCGCCUGUAGUCCCAGCUACUCGCUUUGGACAGUUAUUCCCCACCUUGCCCGGCUAGUUCUUUUUUUUUUGUAUUUUUUAGUAGAGAUGGGGUUUCACCAUGUUCGCCAGGAUGGUCUCGAUCUCCUGACCUCGUGAUCCACCCGUCUCGG